rnacentral:rRNA from 1 species
GAGUUUGAUCCUGGCUCAGGACGAACGCUGGCGGCGUGCUUAACACAUGCAAGUCGAGCGAUGAAAUUCUAUUCGGAGAAUGGAUUAGCGGCGGACGGGUGAGUAACACGUGGGUAACCUGCCUUAUAGUGGGGGAUAGCCUUUCGAAAGGAAGAUUAAUACCGCAUAAUAUUGUGGUUUCGCAUGAAACAACAAUUAAAGAUUUAUCGCUAUAAGAUGGACCCGCGGCGCAUUAGCUAGUUGGUGGGGUAACGGCCUACCAAGGCGACGAUGCGUAGCCGACCUGAGAGGGUGAUCGGCCACAUUGGGACUGAGACACGGCCCAGACUCCUACGGGAGGCAGCAGUGGGGAAUAUUGCACAAUGGGGGAAACCCUGAUGCAGCAACGCCGCGUGAGUGAUGACGGUCUUCGGAUUGUAAAGCUCUGUCUUUAGGGACGAUAAUGACGGUACCUAAGGAGGAAGCCACGGCUAACUACGUGCCAGCAGCCGCGGUAAUACGUAGGUGGCAAGCGUUGUCCGGAUUUACUGGGCGUAAAGGGAGCGUAGGCGGAUUUUUAAGUGGGAUGUGAAAUACCCGGGCUUAACCUGG